rnacentral:lncRNA from 1 species
CCUCCUCCUCUAGUGCCACGCCCUCCUCUUCCUCGUGUGGCAACCAUGACAGAUGGUUCCACUAGUUCAUGCGCUUCCUGAGUUUGAGGUACCGGGACACGUAGAAGACGAGUAGUCAAUGUUUCCAUGGAGGGGACCUCAUGACUAGUUAGAAGUUGAUCUCUGAGAUGAUCAAAAUCGGGAUGUAGGGCACGAAGGAUCAAUACCAUGUAAUAUUUGUCCAGUUUCUUUUGGAUAUCCUUUAAUGGGUCUGAUUCCAAAAACAUCCUCAGUUCUUCGACGGCAGAUUGGGCUUCAGCCAUAAAGGACACCAUAUCAUGGUUUGUCAUUUUAAGAGAUGCAAGCUUGUUCGCAGUGUCAUAGAGACGUUGAAUAUCAUUGGCAUAAAUGCUUUGAGCUUUCUUCCAAAAGGAGUGACAAGUUUUGAAAGCCCUCAGAGAUAUAAGAAGGUUGGGUUCCACUGAUU